ACAUGAGUAGCGGCAUUGUAUUUGGUGUGGCUGUAUCAUUCCGGGUUUAAUUUCGUAUCUGUCUAAAUUGCUUCUGUUACAUUUCAUUUGAAGCAUUAUGCUGGAAUUUGUUUGUGUAUAUAGUUUAAACAAUUGUUAAGGUUUAUUUUAGAGUUAAAAAAUUAAAAAAGAACUGCAAUAGAUUCAUGCUCAUACUAGAAGCUCAUCAUAAGCUGCUUUUUCAUGAUUUGGCUUAUGCUAUGCGAUAAUUAAAUGUCAAAAAUGAUUGUUGCUAAAAAAUCAAUCCAUCUGUAAAUAGGCUUAAGUUUUGUUUUAUUGGUGUAUGUUAAAAGAUCAACCCACUGGCAAUUUUUAGAGUUGUUUAAUUGUGCUUCAUGUUAAAAUUGUUUUUUGAAGUAUAGGACACCUACAGGAAAGCUUAUCUGUUUUAAUUUCC
rnacentral:lncRNA from 1 species